rnacentral:rRNA from 1 species
AGUGAACGCUGGCGGUAGGCCUAACACAUGCAAGUCGAACGGCAGCGCAGUAAGAGCUUGCUCUUACGGGUGGCGAGUGGCGGACGGGUGAGGAAUACAUCGGAAUCUACUUUUUCGUGGGGGAUAACGUAGGGAAACUUACGCUCAUACCGCAUACGACCUACGGGUGAAAGCAGGGGAUCUUCGGACCUUGCGCGAUUGAAUGAGCCGCUGCCGGGUUAGCUAGUUGGCGGGGUAAUGGCCCACCAAGGCGACGAUCGGUAGCUGGUCUGAGAGGAUGAUCGGCGACACUGGAACUUGGACACGGUCCAGACUCCUACGGGAGGGAGCAGUGGGGAAUAUUGGACAAUGGGCGCAGGCCUGAUCCAGCCAUAGCGCGUGGGUGAAGAAGGCCUUCGGGUUGUAAAGCCCUUUUUUUGGGAAAGAACAGCAGCAGGUUAUUACCCCGCUGGUCUGACGGUACCCAAAGAAUAAGCACCGGCUAACUACGUG